AAGGAUUCGCUCACUAGCAAGCGCAUCCAGUGAUGAGCACAGUUCUGUAAGAGUAAAUUAAUGACAUUUUAACAAGUCAAGAGCACGGUAGCAAUUUUGUUAGCUGGAGUGGAGAAUAGCAAACAUGGAUAAAAUACAUUUUCUGGCGUUAUUGGUCAUUAUAGUAUCAGGGAUUGAACUAACGACCACUCUAACUACAACUACAAACAAAAGUACAACAAAACCAACAACAACCGCAACAACUAAAGGUUCUAGCACAACUUCUACAACCCCAAAAACAACUACAACAACUAAACCCCAAACGACCACAACUACAGCCAAAACUACUACAAAGCAAGCAACAACUGCAACAACUAAAGGUUCUAGCACAACAUCAACAACACAAAAAACAACUACAACGACUAAACCCCAAACGACCACAACUACAGCCAAAACUACUACAAAGCAAGCAAAAACUGCAACAACUAAAGGUUCUAGCACAACUUCUACAACCCAAAAAACAACUACAACAACUAAACCCCAAACGACCACAACUACAGCCAAAACUACUACAAAGCAAAAAACAACUGCAACAACUAAAGGUUCUAGCACGACAUCUACAACCCAAAAAACAUCUACAACAACUAAACCCCAAACGACCUCUACUACAACCAAAACUACUACAAAGCCAACAACAACUGCAACAACAAAAGGUUCUAGCACAACUUCUACAACCCAAAAAACAACUACAACAACUAAACCCCAAACGACCACAACUACAGCCAAAACUACUACAAAGCCAACAACAACUGCAACAACAAAAGGUUCUAGCACGACAUCUACAACCCAAAAAACAUCUACAACAACUAAACCCCAAACGACCUCUACUACAACCAAAACUACUACAAAGCCAACAACUACAACAAUUAAAGCUUCUAGUACGACUUCUACAACCCCCCAAAAAAAUACAACUACUAAGCCCCAAACGACCACAAGAGCAAAGACCAAAAGUACUACAAAGUCAAAAACAACUGCAACAAGUAAAGUUUCUAGCACGACUUCUACAACCAUAAAACCAACUACAACUGCUAAGCCUCAAACUACACCAGAACAAACAGCAAAGAUUACCCAAGGAACCAGUGAAGCCAAGACAACAAUCCCAGAUGCACAGACUACUGCAGAGAAACAAGCAAUAAUCACUGUUGCUGAGCCUACAACAACAAAACAACCUGAAACAACUAUAGAAGAAAAAACAACAAAGAUUACUCAGGCCGAGACAACAAUAGCAGAGACACAGACUACUUCACAAAAACAAACGACAAUAACUAUUCCUGAGCCUACAACAACACAGCCCCAAACAACAACAAUCACUGUUGCUGAGCCUACAACAAAACAACCCCAAACAACAACAAUCACUGUUGCUGAGCCUACAACAAAACAACCUGAAACAACUAAACCAGAACAAACAGCAAAGAUUACUCAGGCCGAGACAACAUUCAAAGCAGCACAGACUACUACUGAAAAACAAACAACAAUAACUAUUCCUAAACCUACAACAACACAACCCCAAACAACAACAAUCACUGUUGCUGAGCCUACAACAAAACAACCCCAAACAACAACAAUCACUGUUGCUGAGCCUACAACAAAACAACCUGAAACAACUAAACCAGAACAAACAGCAAAGAUUACUCAGGCCGAGACAACAUUCAAAGCAGCACAGACUACUACUGAAAAACAAACAACAAUAACUAUUCCUAAACCUACAACAACACAACCCCAAACAACAACAAUCAGUGUUGCUGAGCCUACAACAACACAACCCCAAACAACAACAAGCACUGUUGCUGAGCCUACAACAACACAACCUGAAACAACACCAGAAAAAACAACAGCAACAAUUACUCAGUCCGAGUCAACAUUCAAAGCGGUACAGAUUACGACGGAAAAACAAACAACAAUAACAGUUCCUGAACCUACAACAACACAGCCCCAUACAACAACAAUCACUGUUGCUGAGCCUACAACAACACAACCUGAAACAACACCAGAAAAAACAACAGAAACGAUUACUCAGACCGAGACAACAUUCAAAGCGGCACAGACUACGACUGAAAAACAAACAACAAUAACUAUUCCUGAGCCUACAACAACACAACCCCAAACAACAACAAUCAACGUUGCUGAACCUACAACAAAACAACCUGAAACAACACCAGAAAAAACAACAGAAACGAUUACUCAGACUGAGACAACAUUCAAAGCGGCACAGACUACUACUGAAAAACAAACAACAAUAACUAUUCCUGAGCCUAGAACAACACAACCCCAAACAACAACAAUCACUGUUGCUGAACCUACAACAAAACAACCUGAAACAACACCAGAAAAAACAACAGAAACGAUUACUCAGACCGAGACAACAUUCAAAGCGGCACAGACUACUACUGAAAAACAAUCAACAAUAACUGUUCUUGAGCCUACAACAACACAACCCCAAACAACAACAAUCACUGUUGCUGAGCCUACAACAACACAACCCCAAACAACAACAAUCACUGUUGCUGAGCCUACAGCAAAACAACCUGAAACAACACCAGAAAAAACAACAGAAACGAUUUCUCAGACCGAGACAACAUUCAAAGCGGCACAGACUUCUACUGAAAAACAAACAACAAUAACUAUUCCUGAGCCUACAACAACACAACCCCAAACAACAACAAUCACUAUUGCUGAACCUACAACAAAACAACCUGAAACAACACCAGAAAAAACAACAGAAACGAUUAACCAGACCAAGACAACAUUCAAAGCGGCACAGACUACUACUGAAAAACAAUCAACAAUAACUGUUCUUGAGCCUACAACAACACAACCCCAAACAACAACUAUCACUGUUGCUGAGCCUACAACAAAACAACCUGAAACAACACCAGAAAAAACAACAGAAACGAUUACUCAGACUGAGUCAACAUUCAAAGCGGCACAGACUACUACUGAAAAACAAUCAACAAUAACUGUUCCUGAGCCUACAACAACACAACCCCAAACAACAACAAUCACUGUUGCUGAGCCUACAACUAAACAACCUGUAACAACUACACCAGAACAAACAGCAAAGAUUACACAAGAAAGCAGUCAGGCCAAGACAACAAUAGCAGAGACACAGACUACUUCACAAAAACAAACGACAAUAACUAUUCCUAAGCCUACAACAACACAGCCCCAAACAACAACAAUCACUGUUGCUGAGCCUACAACAAAACAACCUGAAACAACAUUAGAAAAAACAACAGAAAUGAUUACUCAGGCCGAGACAACAAUAGCAGAGACACAGACUACUUCACAAAAACAAACGACAAUAACUAUUCCUGAGCCUACAACAACACAGACCCAAACAACAACAAUCACUGUUGCUCAGACUACAACAAAACAACCUGAAACAACUAUAGAAGAAAAAACAACAAAAAUUACUCAGGCCCAGACAACAAUAGCAGAUACACAGACUACGUCACAAAAACAAUCCACAAUUACUGUUCCUGAGCCUACAACAACACAACCUGAAACAAGUACACCAGAACAAACGGCAAAGAUUACACAAGUAACCAGUCAGGCCAAGACAACAAUCUCAGAUGCACAGACUACUACUGAAAAACAAACAACAACUGUUCCUGAGCCUACAACAACACAACAUAAAACAAUGACCAUCACUGUUGCUGAGCCUACAACAAAACAACCUGAAACAACACUAGAAAAAGCAACAACGAUUACUCAGGCCGAGACAACACUCAAAGCGGCACAGACUACUACUGAAAAACAAUCAACAAUUACUGUUCCUGAGCCUACAACAACACAACCCCAAACAACAACAAUCACUGUUGCUGAACCUACAACUAAACAACCUGUAACAACUACACCAGAACAAACAGCAAAGAUUACACAAGAAAGCAGUCAGGCCAAGACAACAAUAGCAGAGACACAGACUACUUCACAAAAACAAACGACAAUAACUAUUCCUAAGCCUACAACAACACAGCCCCAAACAACAACAAUCACUGUUGCUGAGCCUACAACAAAACAACCUGAAACAACAUUAGAAAAAACAACAGAAAUGAUUACUCAGGCCGAGACAACAAUAGCAGAGACACAGACUACUUCACAAAAACAAACGACAAUAACUAUUCCUGAGCCUACAACAACACAGACCCAAACAACAACAAUCACUGUUGCUCAGACUACAACAAAACAACCUGAAACAACUAUAGAAGAAAAAACAACAAAAAUUACUCAGGCCCAGACAACAAUAGCAGAUAAACAGACUACGUCACAAAAACAAUCCACAAUUACUGUUCCUGAGCCUACAACAACACAACCUGAAACAAAUACACCAGAACAAACAGCAAAGAUUACACAAGUAACCAGUCAGGCCAAGACAACAAUCUCAGAUGCACAGACUACUACUGAAAAACAAACAACAACUGUUCCUGAGCCUACAACAACACAACAUAAAACAAUGACCAUCACUGUUGCUGAGCCUACAACAAAACAACCUGAAACAACACUAGAAAAAACAACAACGAUUACUCAGGCCGAGACAACAUUCAAAGCGGCACAGACUACUACUGAAAAACAAUCAACAAUAACUGUUCCUGAGCCUACAACAACACAACCCCAAACAACAACAAUCACUGUUGCUGAACCUACAACUAAACAACCUGUAACAACUAAACCAGAACAAACAGCAAAGAUUACACAAGAAAGCAGUCAGGCCAAGACAACAAUAGCAGAGACACAGACUACUUCACAAAAACAAACGACAAUAACUAUUCCUAAGCCUACAACAACACAGCCCCAAACAACAACAAUCACUGUUGCUGAGCCUACAACAAAACAACCUGAAACAACAUUAGAAAAAACAACAACGAUUACUCAGGCCGAGACAACAUUCAAAGCGGCACAGACUACUACUGAAAAACAAUCAACAAUUACUGUUCCUGAGCCUACAACAACACAACCCCAAACAACAACAAUCACUGUUGCUGAGCCUACAACAACACAACCUGAAACAACACCAACAGAAAUGAUUACUCAGACCGAGACAACUACAGCGGAACAAACAGCAAACAUUACAGAAAAAACAAGAAAAACAUGUAGGGCCAAGACAACAAUCCCAGAUGUGCAGACAACUACAGAGAAACAAACACUAAUAAAGCCUACAACAACAAUGAAACAACCUGAAAAAACUACAAUGGAACAAACAGCAACAAAUGAUAUUGCAGAGCCUACCACAACAGAAACUACAACAGAAAUAACAACAAUUACUGUUGCUGAGCCUACAACAAAAAAACCUGAACCACCUACAGAACUACAAUCAAUCACAGAGACAGAAACUACUGCAGAGAAACACACAACAACAUUUGCUGUUGCUGAGCCCUCUACAACAACCCAACAAAAAACAACAAUGGCUCAAACAACAAAAAUCUCUGUUGUUGAGCGUACAACAACGACACAACCUGUGGCAACAACUGUGUCACAAACAACAACCUCAACAGUAGCGAGCACCACUAUGGCUGCAACAACAAUAUCAUUGCAACCUGUAGCACUGUCCCUUAGUGUCAAUGUAUCAUAUACACCUGCUCUUAGUAACAGCUCAAGUCCAGAAUAUCAGGAUCUGGCGAUGAAAAUUAUUUCCUUGCUUGACCAAAUCUACAAGUCAUCAUAUGGAAAUGGUUAUGCAACAACAAUUGUGAUAAGCUUCAGUCAGCAGACUCGUGCACUGGGAGAGGUAACUACAAAUGUGCAGCUUAUGUUCGACCAGAAAUCAGCAGAGCCUUUUCCAGAUCUGAAAAGUAUUGAAGACAUUCUAAUAAAAGCAAUGACAGAUCCAAAUCUAAACAGCCCUCUGAGAAUCACCCCUGCAUCAUACCAAAGUGUGCUUGGUUUGGCAUCUGCAACUGCACCAGUGGUUGCAACUAAAGUCAACUUGAUUACUCUCAUGGUCUUUCCACUGCUUGUAAUAUGGCAAUUGUAAUGUCAUUUGCCACAAUUCUACAGCCAUCGUAAAAGUGAAUGUAAAUAAUUAUUUAAAAUAUUAAUUAAUAAAUUAUGUGAACAAUAUUUACA
ensembl:lncRNA mucin-2-like